CGUAGGUGGUGGUUUAAGAUUGUUGUGAAAUCCCUGGGCUUAACCUAGGAACUGCAACGAUGACUGAAUCGCUUGAGUAUUGUAGAGGGUAGUGGAAUUUCCGGUGUAGCGGUGAAAUGCGUAGAGAUCGGAAGGAACACCAGUGGCGAAGGCGGCUACCUGGACAAAUACUGACACUGAGGCGCGAGAGCGUGGGGGAGCAAACAGGAUUAGAUACCCUGGUAGUCCACGCUGUAAACGAUGAAGACUAGAUGUUGGCCAGCAUGACUGGUUAGUAUCGAAGCAAACGCGAUAAGUCUUCCGCCUGGGAGUACGGCCGCAAGGUUAAA
rnacentral:rRNA from 1 species